rnacentral:rRNA from 1 species
CCUACGGGAGGCUGCAGUGAGGAAUAUUGGUCAAUGGGCGUAAGCCUGAACCAGCCAAGUCGCGUGAGGGAUGAAGGUUCUAUGGAUCGUAAACCUCUUUUAUCAGGGAAUAAAGUGCGGGACGCGUCCCGUUUUGUAUGUACCUUAUGAAUAAGGAUCGGCUAACUCCGUGCCAGCAGCCGCGGUAAUACGGAGGAUCCGAGCGUUAUCCGGAUUUGUUGGGUUUAAAGGGUGCGUAGGCGGCCUUUUAAGUCAGCGGUGAAAGUCUGUGGCUCAACCAUAGAAUUGCCGUUGAAACUGGGGGGCUUGAGUAUGUUUGAGGCAGGCGGAAUGCGUGGUGUAGCGGUGAAAUGCGUAGAUAUCACGCAGAACCCCGAUCGCGAAGGCAGCCUGCCAGGCCAUGACUGACGCUGAGGCACGAAAGCGUGGGGAUCAAACAGGAUUAGAUACCCUAGUAGUC